UUUUUUUUUUUUUUUUGAGGCGGAGUCUCACUCUGUCGCUCAGGCUGGAGUGCAGUGGCGCGAUCUCGGCUCACUGCAAGCUCUGCCUCCCAGGUUCACGCCACUCUCCUGCCUCAGCCUCCUGAGUAGCUGGGACUACAGGCGCCCGCCACCACGCCCGGCUAAUUUUUUGUAUUUUUAGUAGAGACGGGGUUUCACUGUGUUAGCCAGGAUGGUCUCGAUCUCCUGACCUCGUGAUCCGCCCGCCUCGGCCUCCCAAAGUACUGGGAUUACAGGCGUAAGCCACCGCGCCCGGCCAAGUAACCUUUUUGUAUGUAGUUAGAAGCCUUUGUAUAAUCUAGUGCUAACAAACCCAAUCAUUACUACAGACUGUCAGCCUGAUUGCAUGGCACUGAGCUUGGCUGAAAAAAACAAAAGAAACUGACCAUUGCAGACAGGCUGAGACAUGACAGAGGCAGGUCAUCUGGUGUGAACCGGAUGAAAUCUCACGCCCGAAGAAGCCUAGAUUUGCACAUGAAUUGCCUUUGACUCUUCAGCCCUCCAGUACAAUUACUCAGAACUGUAAGCUUGUGAAAUAGAAAUGCAAAGUCAGGCUCUUUCAGGGGCUGAAAGUUGACCCCCCUUUCUUGACUCUUCUGAGGAGCACCUGCAGUUCCUGAGGUGCCUUCGUCACUCGAAACGGCCUGCUGGGCUGGCUUGCUGGAGUUUCCAAAACACAGGCCCUGGGGGGCACAGCAGGAGAGACACCUCGUCCGGAGAGAGCCUCUAGCGCUCAGCUGCUGCUUUAAUAACCAUUUGUUGCCACCUGCUGGCCACUGGACCAAGGCACUCCAUGCUGGAAACAGGAGUUUGGCUAAGCGUUAGCCAGGCCCCAGGGAGCUGCACCCAAAUGUAGACAGACUGUGUUUUCUCCAAAGAAGUGACCUUGGGAGGAUCCACAAUUAUUCCAUUCAUUAAGCCACACAAGAAGGUGGAUUUUAUAAAAGAGAUAUACUUCAUUCAUGCAUUAAUCAGUCAAUUGCAAACACUUUUGGAGCUACAUGCCAGGUACCCUGCAUGGCACUGGGGGUGAUUGAUAGUCACAUUUUAUUUUAUCCCCAAAUGACAUUAUGAUCUUCUACCCUAUUCAUUGGUAGUGUGAUCUUCUACCCUAUUCAUUGAAUUAAGCUUUACAUCCAUUCAUUCCCUCAUCAGCAGUUAUUUACUGACUGCCUACUCUAUGACAAGCUGUCAGCCAAGAGCUAAGGAUACAGCGGUGAGCAGAAACAGGUGCCAUCUCUGCACUCACUGGGUUGCAAUCUAGUGGGAGAAACAGAUGUUAAUCAGAUAAUCACACAAAUAAAUGUAACAUAUGCACCCAUGACAGGUAUAAUAGAAAAAUAUAACUGUGAGAAGAGCAGGUCUAAGUGACUUUGGUUGAUUCUAAAAUGGAGAUUUAGCUAUUUGAUGAUAUGCGUUAAAAUUAUUUAACAUGUUUUCAUUUUCUGACCCAGCACUUCUACUCUUAGAAGCUCAUCCUAAGGCAAUAGUUAGGAAAUUGGGCUGAUUUAUAUGUAUAAGGAUGUCCACUGCAUGAUUAUUUAUAAAAGCAAAAAUUAAAAAUAAAAAAUGAAAACAUCCAAUAAGAAAUUGGCUAAACAAAUUAUGAUACAUUCAAAAAACAGAACAUUCUCAGGCAUUAAAAAUGAAAAUGGGGAGG
rnacentral:lncRNA from 1 species